rnacentral:tRNA from 1 species
GCCGAGGUAGCUCAGUGGUAGAGCAGAGGUCUGAAGAACCUCGUGUCGCCAGUUCGAUCCUGGCUCUCGGCACCA